rnacentral:rRNA from 1 species
GAUGAACGCUGGCGGCGUGCUUAACACAUGCAAGUCGAACGGGAAACCUUUUAUUUAAGCUUCGGCAGAUUUAGCUGGUUUCUAGUGGCGGACGGGUGAGUAACGCGUGGGUAACCUGCCUUAUACAGGGGGAUAACAACCAGAUAUGGUUGCUAAUACCGCAUAAGCGCACAGGACCGCAUGGUCCGGUGUGAAAAACUCCGGUGGUAUAAGAUGGACCCGCGUUGGUUUAGCUAGUUGGCAGGGUAACGGCAUACCAAGGCGACGAUCCAUAGCCGGCAUGAGAGGGAGAACGGAGACAUUGGGACUGGGACACGGUCCGGAAUCCUACGGGAAGGAGCAGUGGGGAACAGUGCAAAAUGGGGGAAAUGCUGAUGCAGCGACGCCGGGUGAAGGAAGAAGUAACUCAGUAUGUAAAGUGCUAGCAGCAGGGAAGAUAGUGACGGUACCUGACUAAGAAGCCCCGGCUAACUACGUG